CACACCCACGCCACGCCCUGCCUCGCGCACGCCCCCGCGCCCCUCCCGCGGUGGGCCGGGGAGCCACUGCCAGGUUCACGAGCUCUCUCUCCGGAGCGGCCCACCCCUGCCCGGCCCGCGCGGUCUUGCGCUCUGCUUGCGCUGGGCUGCGGAUGGGGGGGCUUACUGUCUGUCGCACCUUCCAUCCCAUUCCAUCCGCAGACUGCCCAGACUGUUAGAACUUGUCCCCCGUCCCUCCACCCCCAGGGGAAUCAAAACCUCUCCUUGCAGCUGCCCCUCAUUUCCUGACUCUGGGUUUAUGGUCUCUACUCGACAGGUCUUACUUGAGCGCUUUCUAGUGCUGAUAGUGGACAGGGCACUAGGCGGGUGCAGCGUCAAUAAUGGUGUGAGAGAAGAGCGGAAUAAUAAAGAUCUGCAAAAAGGAAGAUCGCCAAAGACAAGGACAGAGACGAUUAAAAGCUACCUUUGUGGAACCUCGAGGCAGAGUAUGGCUUCAUGAAGACUUCCAGGGAGUCUGUCCAGCUGGGUGCGUCCACCCCGACGGCCCAAGGUAAGGCCCAGCCCCUAACACUGCCGCAGGGGCUGCCUCUAUUCUGAAAGGCUGCCCUGUGUGCCCCAUCUUCACAUCCAUGCUGCAAGAUGAGACCAGGCUGCAGAAGUCCAAAGGGAAUUUCUG
rnacentral:lncRNA from 1 species